rnacentral:rRNA from 1 species
CUGUCCAACGUUAAUCGGGGCAGGGUGAGUCGACCCCUAAGGCGAGGCCGAAAGGCGUAGUCGAUGGGAAACAGGUUAAUAUUCCUGUACUUGGUGUUAGUGCGAAGGGGGGACGGAGAAGGCUAUGUUAGCCGGGCGACGGUUGUCCCGGUUUAAGCAUGUAGGCUGGUUAUCCAGGCAAAUCCGGAUAAUCGAGGCUGAGGUGUGAUGACGAGGCACUACGGUGCUGAAGUAACAAAUGACCUGCUUCCAGGAAAAGCCUCUAAGCAUCAGGUAACAUUAAAUCGUACCCCAAACCGACACAGGUGGUCAGGUAGAGAAUACCAAGGCGCUUGAGAGAAUGUGUAGGUGAAGUCCCUGCGGAUGGAGCUGAGACCAGUCGAAGAUACCAGCUGGCUGCAACUGUUUAUUAAAAACACAGCACUGUGCAAACACGAAAGUGGACGUAUACGGUGUGACGCCUGCCCGGUGCCGGAAGGUUAAUUGAUGGGGUUAUCCGUAAGGAGAAGCUCUUGAUCGAAGCCCCGGUAAACGGCGGCCGUAACUAUAACGGUCCUAAGGUAGCGAAAUUCCUUGUCGGGUAAGUUCCGACCUGCACGAAUGGCGUAAUGAUGGCCAGGCUGUCUCCACCCGAGACUCAGUGAAAUUGAACUCGCUGUGAAGAUGCAGUGUACCCGCGGCAAGACGGAAAGAACAUUGAGCCUUGAUGUGAAGGAUAGGUGGGAGGCUUUGAAGCGUGGACGCCAGUCUGCGUUGAGCCAACCUUGAAAUACCUCCCUUUAAUGUUUGAUGUUCUAACGUUGGCCCCUGACCGGGGUUGCGGACAGUGUCUGGUGGGUAGUUUGACUGGGGCGGUCUCCUCCCAAAGCGUAACGUUUGACUGGGGCGGUCUCCUCCCAAAGAGUAACGGAGGAGCACGAAGGUUAGCUAAUCCUGGUCGGACAUCAGGAGGUUAGUGCAAUGGCAUAAGCUAGCUUGACUGCGAGCGUGACGGCGCGAGCAUGGUUCUGAAUGGAAGGGCCAUCGCUCAACGGAUAAAAGGUACUCCGGGGAUAACAGGCUGAUACCGCCCAAGAGUUCAUAUCGACGGCGGUGUUUGGCACCUCGAUGUCGGCUCAUCACAUCCUGGGGCUGAAGUAGGUCCCAAGGGUAUGGCUGUUCGCCAUUUAAAGUGGUACGCGAGCUGGGUUUAGAACGUCGUGAGACAGUUCGGUCCCUAUCUGCCGUGGGCGCUGGAGAAUUGAGGGGGGCUGCUCCUAGUACGAGAGGACCGGAGUGGACGCAUCACUGGUGUUCGGGUUGUCAUGCCAAUGGCACUGCCCGGUAGCUAAAUGCGGAAGAGAUAAGUGCUGAAAGCAUCUAAGCACGAAACUUGCCCCGAGAUGAGUUCUCCCUGAGACUUUAAGUCUCCUGAAGGAACGUUAAAGACGAUGACGUUGAUAGGCCGGGUGUGUAAGCGCAGCGAUGCGUUGAGCUAACCGGUACUAAUGAACCGUGAGGCUUAACCUUACAACGCCGAAG